AUUGAACGCUGGCGGCAUGCUUUACACAUGCAAGUCGAACGGUAACAGGCCGCAAGGUGCUGACGAGUGGCGAACGGGUGAGUAAUGCAUCGGAACGUGCCCAGUCGUGGGGGAUAACGCAGCGAAAGCUGUGCUAAUACCGCAUACGAUCUAUGGAUGAAAGCGGGGGACCGUAAGGCCUCGCGCGAUUGGGGCGCCGAUGUCAGAUUAGGUAGUUGGUGGGGUAAAGGCCUACCAAGCCAACGAUCUGUAGCUGGUCUGAGAGGACGACCAGCCACACUGGGACUGAGACACGGCCCAGACUCCUACGGGAGGCAGCAGUGGGGGAAUUUUGGACAAUGGGCGCAAGCCUGAUCCAGCAAUGCCGCGUGCAGGAAGAAGGCCUCGGUUGUAAC
rnacentral:rRNA from 1 species